rnacentral:rRNA from 1 species
UACGGGAGGCAGCAGUGGGGAAUAUUGCACAAUGGGCGCAAGCCUGAUGCAGCCAUGCCGCGUGUAUGAAAAAGGCCUUCGGGUUGUAAAGUACUUUCAGUCGUGAGGAAGGUGUUAAGGUUAAUAACCUUAGCAAUUGACGUUAGCGACAGAAGAAGCACCGGCUAACUCCGUGCCAGCAGCCGCGGUAAUACGGAGGGUGCGAGCGUUAAUCGGAAUUACUGGGCGUAAAGGGCACGCAGGCGGUUAAUUAAGUUGGAUGUGAAAUCCCCGGGCUUAACCUGGGAAUGGCAUUCAAGACUGGUUAGCUAGAGUCUUGUAGAGGGGGUAGAAUUCCAUGUGUAGCGGUGAAAUGCGUAGAGAUGUGGAGGAAUACCGGUGGCGAAGGCGGGCCCCCUGGGACAAAGGACUGGACGCUCAUGUGCGAAAGCGUGGGGAGCAAACGAGGGAUUAGAUACC